rnacentral:rRNA from 1 species
UGCCUAUACAUGCAGUCGAACGAGUUCUGAUUAUUGAAAGGUGCUUGCAUCUUGAUUUAAUUUUGAACGAGUGGCGGACGGGUGAGUAACACGUGGGUAACCUGCCCUUAAGUGGGGGAUAACAUUUGGAAACAGAUGCUAAUACCGCAUAAAUCCAAGAACCGCAUGGUUCUUGGCUGAAAGAUGGCGUAAGCUAUCGCUUUUGGAUGGACCCGCGGCGUAUUAGCUAGUUGGUGAGGUAACGGCUCACCAAGGCAAUGAUACGUAGCCGAACUGAGAGGUUGAUCGGCCACAUUGGGACUGAGACACGGCCCAAACUCCUACGGGAGGCAGCAGUAGGGAAUCUUCCACAAUGGACGCAAGUCUGAUGGAGCAACGCCGCGUGAGUGAAGAAGGCUUUCGGGUCGUAAAACUCUGUUGUUGGAGAAGAAUGGUCGGCAGAGUAACUGUUGUCGGCGUGACGGUAUCCAACCAGAAAGCCACGGCUAACUACGUGCCAGCAGCCGCGGUAAUACGUAGGUGGCAAGCGUUAUCCGGAUUUAUUGGGCGUAAAGCGAGCGCAGGCGGUUUUUUAAGUCUGAUGUGAAAGCCCUCGGCUUAACCGAGGAAGUGCAUCGGAAACUGGGAAACUUGAGUGCAGAAGAGGACAGUGGAACUCCAUGUGUAGCGGUGAAAUGCGUAGAUAUAUGGAAGAACACCAGUGGCGAAGGCGGCUGUCUGGUCUGUAACUGACGCUGAGGCUCGAAAGCAUGGGUAGCGAACAGGAUUAGAUACCCUGGUAGUCCAUGCCGUAAACGAUGAAUGCUAGGUGUUGGAGGGUUUCCGCCCUUCAGUGCCGCAGCUAACGCAUUAAGCAUUCCGCCUGGGGAGUACGACCGCAAGGUUGAAACUCAAAGGAAUUGACGGGGGCCCGCACAAGCGGUGGAGCAUGUGGUUUAAUUUGAAGCAACGCGAAGAACCUUACCAGGUCUUGACAUCUUUUGAUCACCUGAGAGAUCAGGUUUCCCCUUCGGGGGCAAAAUGACAGGUGGUGCAUGGUUGUCGUCAGCUCGUGUCGUGAGAUGUUGGGUUAAGUCCCGCAACGAGCGCAACCCUUAUGACUAGUUGCCAGCAUUUAGUUGGGCACUCUAGUAAGACUGCCGGUGACAAACCGGAGGAAGGUGGGGAUGACGUCAAAUCAUCAUGCCCCUUAUGACCUGGGCUACACACGUGCUACAAUGGAUGGUACAACGAGUUGCGAGACCGCGAGGUCAAGCUAAUCUCUUAAAGCCAUUCUCAGUUCGGACUGUAGGCUGCAACUCGCCUACACGAAGUCGGAAUCGCUAGUAAUCGCGGAUCAGCACGCCGCGGUGAAUACGUUCCCGGGCCUUGUACACACCGCCCGUCACACCAUGAGAGUUUGUAACACCCGAAGCCGGUGGCGUAACCCUUUUAGGGAGCGAGCCGUCU